UCCAUAUACCGUGCACUUCAUCUCUUCUCCAGAAUUCCUCUUUUCUCUUUACAGGCAAAAAAAACCUAAUUUCAAUAAAACCCAAAAAUCAAACCAUUCUUCUUCAAAUCAAUCUGCAGAAACUCGAUCGGCCCUUUGUUCGGUCAUCUCCUCGACAUACCACACGCAGAAAAACCUAAUUCCACAUAGUCACGGAAAGUCGUAAUUCAAAGAUUUGCUGGAAUUCUUGAGGAGAUACGCCGUUGAAGAAAAGCACGAGGGCUGCGCGCGAUUGUAUCUCAACAACAAAGGAAAAUUACCGAGG
rnacentral:lncRNA from 1 species